CAAGUUCCGCUUAAUGCAUUUAAUGAUUUGAAUGUGGAUGAGCAGGUCGUAUGUGUGAAUGGGUGGAUAACUGGUGCGAAUGAUCGCAUGUUUGAGAGGUACCGUAAGGUCAACCUUAAGCAUGUGAGUGGUGGACAAGACAGUGUCAAUGCUGCUCAAGGGCAGAUUGGCAACUAGUCGGCCACCCAUUGUCAGACUGAAUGGAGUGAAUGUGAGGUAUGCAUCUGAGGUGAAAUACCUCGGCAUAACCUUCGGCGAGAGGAUGUGUUUCACUCCUCAUAUCGCUGGUCUCAAGGCCCGGCUACUUGGUUUGGUGGGGCAAGUGCGUCGUAUUUUGAGGUCUGACUGGGGCCUAAGCAGACGUGCUGUCCGCACCAUCUAUGAGGGUCUGUUUGUUGCCUGUGCAGCAUAUGGAUCGUCUGUAUGGUGCAAGGCGGUCACGACUGUGGUCGGCAGAAAGAAAGUACUGGCUUGCCAGAGAGUGCUUCUGUUAGGUUGUUUGCCUGUGUGCCGCACUGUCUCUACGGAGGCAAUGCAGGUACUGUUAGGAGUAGCCCCUCUUGACUUGGAGAUCAGGCGUCGAGCCUUGAUGUACAGGAUCAAGAGGCGGCUGCCAUUGCUGCAGAAUGAUUGGCUAGCGGGUAGGGAUGUGGAGAGUUUAGGGCUUAAUGAAUGCAAGAGAUUAGCGAAAGAGUGUCUUUUGUCUGACUGGCAAGUCAGAUGGGACACUAGCGUGAAUGGGCGUGUCACUCAUCGGUUUAUACGGGAGGUUACAUUUGCCGGCAGCCGACCAGACUUUGGGUUCGGCCUGAGUCUUGGAUUCCUGUUGACUGGUCACGGUUCCCUCAAAUGCAUUCCUGCAUUCGAGGAACCUUUAUGACAGUCCAGAAUGCCGUUGUGGCUCGGCUGCUGAGACAUGGGAGCAUGUUCUCUGUGAGUGCACAAGGUAUGCAGAUCUUCGAGAUCUGAGGGGGAUGGGUAUAAGUGAGGUUAGUGGCGGGUUUGACGUAAGUCAAUCACUCUCCACUAGUGAUAGGGUUAGAAGAAUGAGUGAGUUUGCUAGAGCUGCAUUUUCCAGGCGACGUUUGCAAUUGCAGGAAGGAAUUGUAUGAAUGAUGAUGGAUGGUAUAUGUGGGAAUGUGGUGGUACGAACGUGGGGGUGUGUCUGAAUGAUAAUUUUUGUUGAACAUUGUGUUGUGUUGGGGCUACCAACCCUUAACUAUUUUGGAGUUUAAAUUGGAAGUGCCCUUCUGGUACGAGGCCUGACCAGAGGCUUUUAAUCUGGUACCACGGGUAACCAGGAGCCCACGGAACUUGUUCCGUCCUGGUAAGUUGGUGCGGCCCUUCGGGGAGUAUCGUGGUGGUUGUGGUUUAACACCCAAAUGCGGGUAGAGCAUCGCUCGACGUGGAGUUGCGUCAUACAACCGGGUUCCGUGACCCAGAUUACGGAAGAGGCUUAGGUAGUCCUCGUGCCAAAUCAAGGUAGAAGUCACAACCAAACAGUCGUGUCUUUUAUUGGUACCUGCGGAAUUGAUGUUCCAAGGGGGCGGUGAUUGACGCUUGAAUUAAUCCUAUACUAGGAACCGUGAGAUUAAGCCAUCGCGGCAGGUGCUCACGUUAAGCCCACCGACUUUCAUGUCCCUAUCUACUAUCUAGCGAAACCACAGCCAAGGGAACGGGCUUGGAAUAAUUAGCGGGGAAAGAAGACCCUUUUGAGCUUGACUCUAAUCUGGCAGUGUAAGGAGACAUAAGAGGUGUAGAAUAAGUGGGAGAUAUUAGACUUCGGUUUUGGUAUCGACAAUGAAAUACCACUACUCUUAUUGUUUCCUUACUUACUUGAUUAAAUGCAACGUGUAUCAUUUCCUAGCCAUUAUACGGAUAUAAUUAUUGUCUUAUGGUAUUGGGUUUUGAUGCAAGCUUCUUGAUCAAAGUAUCACGAGUUUGUUAUAUAAUCGCAAACAAAUUCUUUAAUGAGAGAAUGCAUUUAUGUAUUAUUGAUUUAAGAAUUUGGUAUAACUCCAAUUACUCAAGUAUAAUCCAAUUCAAGGACAUUGCCAGGUAGGGAGUUUGACUGGGGCGGUACAUCUCUCAAAUAUUAACGGAGGUGUCCCAAGGCCAGCUCAGUGCGGACAGAAACCACACAUAGGGCAAAAGGGCAAAUGCUGACUUGAUCUCGGUGUUCACUACACACAGGGACAGCAAAAGCUCGGCCUAUCGAUCCUUUUGGUUUAAAGAGUUAUUAACAAGAGGUGUCAGAAAAGUUACCAUAGGGAUAACUGGCUUGUGGCGGCCAAGCGUUCAUAGCGACGUCGCUUUUUGAUCCUUCGAUGUCGGCUCUUCCUAUCAUUGUGAAGCAAAAUUCACCAAGCGUUGGAUUGUUCACCCAUGCAAGGGAACGUGAGCUGGGUUAAGAGCGUCGUGAGACAGGUUAGUUUUACCCUACUAAUGACAAAACGUUGUUGCGACAGCAUUCCUGCGUAGUACGAGAGGAACCGCAGGUACGGACCAAUGGCACAAUACUUGUUCAAGCGAACAGUGGUAUGACGCUACGUCCGUUGGAUUAUGCCUGAAAGCCUCUAAGGUCGUAUCCGUGCUGGACUGCAAUGAUAAAUAAGGGGCAAUUUGCAUUGUAUGGCUUCUAAACCAUUAAAAGUUUUUAAUUUGUUUUAUUAACGAAAAUGGAUGUGAUGCCAAUGUUAUUUAUAACAUAGUAAAUUGGGAGGAUCUUCGAUCACCUGAUGCCGCGCUAGUUAUAUUUUAAAGCAUUAUUU
rnacentral:rRNA from 1 species